CCAUCGAGUCUUUGAACGCAAGUUGCGCCCGAAGCCUUCGGGCCGAGGGCACGUCUGCCUGGGCGUCACGCAUCGCGUCUUCCCCUAACCCCC
rnacentral:rRNA from 1 species